rnacentral:tRNA from 1 species
GCCGGUGUGUUGGAACUGGUAGACGAGGUGGACUCAAAAUCCAUUGCCAGCAAUGGCGUGCGGGUUCGAUUCCCGCCACCGGCACCA